UGGGGAAUUUUGGACAAUGGGCGAAAGCCUGAUCCAGCAAUGCCGCGUGUGUGAAGAAGGCCUUCGGGUUGUAAAGCACUUUUGUCCGGAAAGAAAUCCUUGGCUCUAAUACAGUCGGGGGAUGACGGUACCGGAAGAAUAAGCACCGGCUAACUACGUGCCAGCAGCCGCGGUAAUACGUAGGGUGCAAGCGUUAAUCGGAAUUACUGGGCGUAAAGCGUGCGCAGGCGGUUUGCUAAGACCGAUGUGAAAUCCCCGGGCUCAACCUGGGAACUGCAUUGGUGACUGGCAGGCUAGAGUAUGGCAGAGGGGGGUAGAAUUCCACGUGUAGCAGUGAAAUGCGUAGAGAUGUGGAGGAAUACCGAUGGCGAAGGCAGCCCCCUGGGCCAAUACUGACGCUCAUGCACGAAAGCGUGGGGGAGCAAACAGGAUUAGAUACCCUGGUAGUCCACGCCCUAAACGAUGUCAACUAGUUGUUGGGGGAUUCAUUUCCUUAGUAACGUAGCUAACGCGUGAAGUUGACCGCCUGGGGAGUACGGUCGCAAGAUUAAAACUCAAAGGAAUUGACGGGGUCAUAGCUGUUUCCU
rnacentral:rRNA from 1 species